rnacentral:tRNA from 1 species
GGGGGUGUAGCUCAGUGGUACAGCAUUUUCCUAGCAUGCAUAAGACCCUGGGUUCAAUCCCCACAACCCCCU